GCUGAGCGUGCGGGCGUCACGCUGGUCCCCGGCCUCCAUCACCAGGCUGGUGAGGGUGCUGGUGAGCUCCUCCAUGGACAGGGUGCCCGCCCGGUACUUCCUCAGCAGCGCCUGCCUCUUGCUCUCGGGCACGUCCCUGCAGAACAGGAGCUCCCACACAGACACGGUCUGGCCCCGGAACAGGCCCCCGUGGACGGUGAGCGAGGCGGCCUGCAGGGCGCGGCGCAUCUGCUCGCUCAGCUGGGACACGGCGGAGCCCGUGUCCGCCAGCUGCAACAUGUAGAGGCCGGUGUCGGGGUCGCGGACGCACCUGCGCAGCAGCUGCAUGUAGGUGAGGUUCUCGUGGGUGUUGGGGUCAAAGAAGCCCUUGGUGUCGUCCGAGGGGUCAGACAGGAUCUGGUUCAUCUCCUCGUCAAAGUAGCCGCGCUGGUAGGCCACCUCCACCGGCACGCGGUGGCUGUGCACGGGGUCGAUGACCCCGCCCGUGGCGAUCUGGGCCUCCAGCAGCCUCACGCCGUGCUCCUUGACGAUGAGGUCCCUCUUCAUGGCCUGGAAGAGGGAGAUCUGCUCUCCUGUGUAGGGGUCCGUGUAGCCGGUGACGGCCUUCUCCGCGGACAGCAGCUUCUCCUGGAUCUCCCCGCCCACCACGCCUGCGGCCACGGCCUCGUCCACGGACAGCUUCUGGUUGCGCAGCGGGUCGAUGACGAAGCCCGUGGCGGCCUGGGCCUCCAGCAGCACCAGCGCCGUGCCGGGCCUCAGGAUGCCCUUCCACAUGGCCUGGUAGAUGCUCAUCUUCUCCUGCUUGGCCGGGUCCGCCUUGGAGGGCACCAGGACGCCCGCGAUGCAGCUGGUCCCCUCCAGGUACUUUUUCACUCUUUCUUUUCCAGCGAUGUCUGUUACUCUUUUUUGUCCUUUCUCCAAUUCUUCCAACAUAUGUUUAUUAAUGAUAUCUGCUUUGAAAAGUUCAGAAGCUGUUACUUGUUUUCUCAGUCCUUUGAACCAUACCUCCUUUCUGUUUUUUUCUUUUUCUUCAAUUAA
rnacentral:lncRNA from 1 species